rnacentral:rRNA from 1 species
GACGAACGCUGGCGGCGUGCUUAACACAUGCAAGUCGAACGGAAAGGCCCUGCUUUUGUGGGGUGCUCGAGUGGCGAACGGGUGAGUAACACGUGAGUAACCUGCCCUUGACUUUGGGAUAACUUCAGGAAACUGGGGCUAAUACCGGAUAGGAGCUCCUGCUGCAUGGUGGGGGUUGGAAAGUUUCGGCGGUUGGGGAUGGACUCGCGGCUUAUCAGCUUGUUGGUGGGGUAGUGGCUUACCAAGGCUUUGACGGGUAGCCGGCCUGAGAGGGUGACCGGCCACAUUGGGACUGAGAUACGGCCCAGACUCCUACGGGAGGCAGCAGUGGGGAAUAUUGCACAAUGGGCGGAAGCCUGAUGCAGCAACGCCGCGUGCGGGAUGACGGCCUUCGGGUUGUAAACCGCUUUCGCCUGUGACGAAGCGUGAGUGACGGUAAUGGGUAAAGAAGCACCGGCUAACUACGUGCCAGCAGCCGCGGUGAUACGUAGGGUGCGAGCGUUGUCCGGAUUUAUUGGGCGUAAAGGGCUCGUAGGUGGUUGAUCGCGUCGGAAGUGUAAUCUUGGGGCUUAACCCUGAGCGUGCUUUCGAUACGGGUUGACUUGAGGAAGGUAGGGGAGAAUGGAAUUCCUGGUGGAGCGGUGGAAUGCGCAGAUAUCAGGAGGAACACCAGUGGCGAAGGCGGUUCUCUGGGCCUUUCCUGACGCUGAGGAGCGAAAGCGUGGGGAGCGAACAGGCUUAGAUACUCUGGUAGUCCACGCUGUAAACGGUGGGUACUAGGUGUGGGGUCCAUUCCACGGGUUCCGUGCCGUAGCUAACGCUUUAAGUACCCCGCCUGGGGAGUACGGCCGCAAGGCUAAAACUCAAAGGAAUUGACGGGGCCCCGCACAAGCGGCGGAGCAUGCGGAUUAAUUCGAUGCAACGCGUAGAACCUUACCUGGGUUUGACAAGGAUCGGGAGUGCUCAGAGAUGGGUGUGCCUCUUUUGGGGUCGGUUCACAGGUGGUGCAUGGCUGUCGUCAGCUCGUGUCGUGAGAUGUUGGGUUAAGUCCCGCAACGAGCGCAACCCUUGUUCACUGUUGCCAGCACGUUAUGGUGGGGACUCAGUGGAGACCGCCGGGGUCAACUCGGAGGAAGGUGGGGAUGACGUCAAGUCAUCAUGCCCCUUAUGUCCAGGGCUUCACGCAUGCUACAAUGGCUGGUACAGAGAGUGGCGAGCCUGUGAGGGUGAGCGAAUCUCGGAAAGCCGGUCUCAGUUCGGAUUGGGGUCUGCAACUCGACCUCAUGAAGUCGGAGUCGCUAGUAAUCGCAGAUCAGCAACGCUGCGGUGAAUACGUUCCCGGGGCU